AGAUUGAACGCUAGCGGGAUGCUUAACGACAUGCAAGUCGAACGGCAGCGCGGACUUCGGUCUGGCGGCGAGUGGCGAACGGGUGAGUAAUAUAUCGGAACGUGCCCAGUAGCGGGGGAUAACUACGCGAAAGCGUGGCUAAUACCGCAUACGCCCUACGGGGGAAAGGGGGGGAUCGCAAGACCUCUCACUAUUGGAGCGGCCGAUAUCAGAUUAGCUAGUUGGUGAGGUAAAGGCUCACCAAGGCGACGAUCUGUAGCU
rnacentral:rRNA from 1 species